ACGUUAGCGGCGGACGGGUGAGUAACACGUGGGUAACCUACCUAUAAGACUGGGAUAACUUCGGGAAACCGGAGCUAAUACCGGAUAAUAUUUCGAACCGCAUGGUUCGAUAGUGAAAGAUGGUUUUGCUAUCACUUAUAGAUGGACCUGCGCCGUAUUAGCUAGUCGGUAAGGUAACGGCUUACCAAGGCGACGAUACGUAGCCGACCUGAGAGGGUGAUCGGCCACACUGGAACUGAGACACGGUCCAGACUCCUACGGGAGGCAGCAGGC
rnacentral:rRNA from 1 species